AGCAUUGGAACACUGGUUCCUAUACAAUCACAAAAGUUAAGCAAUAUUGAGCUUGGUCAGUACCUAGAUGGGUGACCACUUAGGAAUAUCAGGUGCUGUAAG